rnacentral:rRNA from 1 species
AAGUCGAACGAUGAAGCUACAGCUUGCUGUGGUGGAUUAGUGGCGAACGGGUGAGUAAUACGUGAGUAACCUGCCCUUGUCUUUGGGAUAAGCCUGGGAAACUGGGUCUAAUACCGGAUAUUCUGCUUUCAUCGCAUGGUGGGGGUUGGAAAGGGUUUCUGGAUAGGGAUGGGCUCACGGCCUAUCAGCUUGUUGGUGGGGUGAUGGCCUACCAAGGCGUCGACGGGUAGCCGGCCUGAGAGGGUGACCGGCCACAUUGGGACUGAGAUACGGCCCAGACUCCUACGGGAGGCAGCAGUGGGGAAUAUUGCACAAUGGACGCAAGUCUGAUGCAGCGACGCCGCGUGGGGGAUGAAGGCUUUCGGGUUGUAAACUCCUUUCAGUACAGAACAAGGCCUUUUUGGUUGAGGGUAUGUGCAGAAGAAGCGCCGGCUAACUACGUGCCAGCAGCCGCGGUAAUACGUAGGGCGCGAGCGUUGUCCGGAAUUAUUGGGCGUAAAGAGCUCGUAGGCGGUUUGUUGCGCCUGCUGUGAAAGACUCGGGGCUUAACUUCGGGGUUGCAGUGGGUACGGGCAGACUAGAGUGUGGUAGGGGUAAUUGGAAUUCCUGGUGUAGCGGUGGAAUGCGCAGAUAUCAGGAG